UAUUUAGUAUGAGAUCAUCACAACAACCAGCUUUCAACAAAAUCAAAAAUUCAGUUUCAAGUAAGUGAAGUAAUAUAACAAAGAAUACAAAGAUACCUGAUGGUAAGCCACAAAAAGUAGGCACUAAUGUGAAGACUAUUUUUUAAUCAUUUCUUCCUUUAGCAAAGCCAAAUGGAUAUCUCUUUCUACCACCCAACUCUUCACUCCCUGACAGAAUAGAGUCAAUGGAUAUUGACCUGACUCCUCCAGCAAGAAAGCCUGAGAUGUCAGCAGGCCCUUCAAGAAUCUCUCUGAUUAGUCCACCUCAGGAUGGACGCAUGGGUAAGUAAAAGUCCCUGUGCCUACUUUACAUUUAUGCACAAACUCGAAUAUAUUCCCUGAAAGUCAUAUUUCACCAAAGCUGUCGUUGCUUACCUACUUAAGGGCUGCCCUCCACUAAUUGUUGUGGUAAAUCUCCAACCCAAAUAAGCCUGUGCAAAGAAAACACAAUGCAAUUAGUAUGAAUACAGAAUACCAAUACAAGCUGUGCGCCUAGAUUGGGCAGAUCUACCUCUACACUACUCUAUUCCCCAGCUAGGAGAUCCCUUAUAACCUGCAGUUUCUCCAGGCCACAUGCUUCUGCUCCAUUUUCCUUCCACCUCCUCUUCUCUCCACCUUCUCCCUAAAACUUUUCAGCUACACCUUCCCUUCCAUUGCCCAAUCACCGGCUC
rnacentral:lncRNA from 1 species